AAUGCACCAAUUUGUAAGUCGCUCUGGAUAAGAGCGUAGGCUAAAUGACGUAAA
rfam:Salmo salar isolate Sally breed double haploid chromosome ssa20, whole genome shotgun sequence.